UCUCCUCUUCACCCCUUUUCCCUGCCCUACUGCCCUGAACAGGAUUGCUGCUUCUUUUAAAGUUCCAACUGCAGCUAAAAUCCCCUGUCGGAUCUGACAGCAAACAAACCCUGGCAGAGGGAGCCAAGCACAGCGUGGCUGUGGCGUGGGAGGGAUUGGGAUGAGAUCAGAAUUCUCCAUCAGAAUUGGGAUGGUUUCAGCUGUCACAAGAGCCAAGUCCUGGUUUCUGACAAUUUUAUUUGCAGGGCAGGUCAGUGGGCCCUGGGAAUGGAGAAAACGGGGCUAAAGAGAAAAUGUGGGAAAUGCUCCUUUCCUUCUCUCUUGACCCUGGUGAGGUUCUCCAUCAGCUCUGCCAAACACCACUCUUAAAAGGCUGUGAUAAACUAAUGGAGUUAAAAUAAUUUGGGAGAACAAUGGGCAUUUCCAAGGAAGUUCAUUAGCAGGAAAGUUCCCUGCACUUCCCUGGAGGAGCCACGUGGAUGUCCAAGCACACAGCCCAGGCAGGACCCCUCACACUUCAGCUGCCACAUCUUCCUUUUCCUUGGGACAGAACCUUGCUCCGGGCUCCCAGGGAAACAAUUAAUGUGAGGAAAUAAGGAAACCAAAACCUGCCAAAGGAGAUUUCUGUGCUGUGGAUAAUCAGGGUGGCAGCUGCCUAUGGUCCCUGUCAGGUGGGAUGGAAAUUCAUUGUUGUAAAAAGGCUUCCUAGGCGAGGCUGGGAUGCAGAUUUUAGGGUGGUAUUUGGAACUUUUUCCAAAGUUCUUCCUGUCUAAUAGAGGAAAGACUGCGUGGAGGCAUUGGGAGUUAAUCCCAGGGGUAGCAGAGGGUUCUCUGGGGCUGAUCAACAGGGAGAUGAUGCCCUCAGAGCCACCCAAAAUACUGGCAGAGGCUGAGCUGGAGCCAGCUUAGCCCAGCCUUGUGUCUCUAAAACCAGGCCUUUGGGAAGGGGCUGUGCAAGAGCCAGCAAAUGGUUUUGAACAGACCUAGAGAGAGCAAGAGCUGCUGCUGGUUUCUAAUUAGGGGGGAAAGGAAUUGUUUUCCCUGAGUUCCCUCUGUGAUCUCAUCCCUAGGAAGCAGCCAAAAAUAUCCCCGCACCCUGGCUCAGAAAGGAGCACAUUGUUCCCUUGUCUCCUGGCAAAGGGAGGGGUGAGGAGCAGGUCAAGCACGAAAAUGUGCUCAAAAAUCCCCCAGGCCCCAGCAGCCUCCCCUGGGUGUCCUCCCAAACAUCCACACCCAGCCAGGCCAGCAGCUCCAGCCUCCCUUCCCAGCGCAGGGCUUCCCUGGGAGCCUCCCCAAGUCCUGCUGAGGAGAAAGAAACCAAUUGUGGAGCCCAGCAGCUGCCCAAGGAGAUGAGGAGCUGCUGUGCACAGCCUGGGCUCUGGGAAAGUAUUGUAAAUGCAGGAAAAAAUCCUGAGAGACAGAAGAGUGUGCUGCCACAGGAAAGGGCAGCAAAGGUCUCCUGGAGCCGUGCUGGCCAUCCCAAGGACUCCCUCCUGCUCCUGCUGGCUGCCCCAGCCUCCCUCCUGCGGGGGAAAGGCUCAGGGGGGCUGCCUGAGCAAUGGGGGUGUCACCCUGAUGCCCUAAGGGGCUGGAACACAGGCUGGACGGAGUCAAGAGCACUAAAGUGGAGAUUUAUUGAGGUGCCUUCAGAGGCCACACCCUGGCAGUACCCAGAUGGCUCCAAGAUGGAAGCAAAAGAGAGCUUGGUCACAUUUUUUUUGAAGAGAUUGUCCCCGAGUCUGCAGCUAGAACAGGAUUGUUUGGCUUCACCACCCUGAAGAAAGAUCCUAGUGACACUGAAUAUAAAGCUGAAAGCUGCACACCAAACCAGAACAGAAAAACUUAAACCUAAGCUAUCGACCCCACUGCAAAUGGCACUGGGACCCCCCUGUCCCCAUCCCCGGGGUGCUGGAUGUGGAUUUCUGCACAAAGCAGAUGGGGUUUGUCCCCCUCCACAGCCCAGAGCUUCACCCAGCCCUGAUAACAGCACAGACCUUCCUGGUCCUGCUCAGUUAAAGAGGAAAAGACAAAGCUGGGGGAGAGCACAAGGCGAAGGCUCCUGUGGGAUGUGGAAUCAGCCCAGGCACUGAGUGAUGCUCUGUUCUGAGCACAUGGGCCAAGAGAUCCCACUCAGAACUCGCUCUGAAUUCUCCCAGGCCUACUCAUCAAAACAGAUCUUUUCAUCCCCUUUGUGUUCUUCGCUUGCAUCUGUUGUUUUUUGGGGGAAAAAAGGCUUGUACAGAAAUUCCACGUUUUAGAAAUCUCUCCUGGAAUGAACCAGCUGAAGGAUUCGGAGCUCUGCUCUCUGGGGAUGUGUUUUGGCCAUCAGCUGGUCAGAGGAAUUAAGGUUUCAUUUUCCUUAUUCUUCUCAGGAUUCCCUCACCGACCCCACGGGCUGCUCCCCACCUUUAUUAGUGCACUCUUGUGGGCAGCUCUCCAAACCAAUAAACGUUAUUGUUUCACUUCCCAGGGCCCUAAAAUCACAACAUUUACCAGAAAUCCGUGGGGCUGUGCAGUUUGCUGUGGAAGUGGGGCCGGGAUGGAGAGCAGUUAGGUCAGCCAGAGCCCCUGGCACCCCUCUGCUGAGCACACCCCAU